rnacentral:rRNA from 1 species
UAGCGAAAUUCCUUGUCGGGUAAGUUCCGACCCGCACGAAAGGCGUAAUGAUUUGGGCACUGUCUCGACAAUGCACCCGGUGAAAUUGAAAUACCAGUGAAGAUGCUGGUUACCUGCGCCAGGACGGAAAGACCCCAUGGAGCUUUACUCCAGCUUGAUACUGGGAUUCGGUAUUGCAUGUACAGGAUAGGUGGGAGACUGAGAAACUUGGACGCCAGUCUGAGUUGAGUCGUUGUUGGGAUACCACCCCUGCGGUAUUGGAUUUCUAACCUGCAGCCGUUAGCCGGCUGGGGGACAAUGUCAGGCGGGGAGUUUGACUGGGGCGGUCGCCUCCGAAAGGGUAUCGGAGGCGCUCAAAGGUUCCCUCAGAAUGGUUGGAAACCAUUCGAAGAGUGCAAAGGCAGAAGGGAGCUUGACUGCGACACCGACGGGUGGAGCAGGUACGAAAGUAGGACUUAGUGAUCCGGUGGUAUGAAAGUGGGAUUGCCAUCGCUCAACGGAUAAAAGCUACCCUGGGGAUAACAGGCUUAUCACUCCCAAGAGUUCACAUCGACGGAGUGGUUUGGCACCUCGAUGUCGGCUCAUCGCAUCCUGGGGCUGUAGUAGGUCCCAAGGGUUGGGCUGUUCGCCCAUUAAAGCGGUACGCGAGCUGGGUUCAGAACGUCGUGAGACAGUUCGGUCCCUAUCCGGCGUGGGCGUAGGAUAUUUGAGAGGAGCUGUCCUUAGUACGAGAGGACCGGGUUGGACUGACCUCUGGUGCACCGGUUGUCAUGCCAAUGGCACAGCCGGGUAGCCAAGUCGGGAAGGGAUAAACGCUGAAGGCAUCUAAGCGUGAAGCCCCCCUCAAGAUGAGAUAUCCCAUUCGAAAGAAGUAAGACCCCUUGAAGACGACGAGGUAGAUAGGGCAGAGGUGGAAGUGCAGUAAUGCAUGGAGCUGACUGUUACUAAUAGGUCGAGGGCUUAAUCUG